UACAGAGGUCUCAAGCGUUGUUCGGAUUCAUUGGGCGUAAAGGGUGCGUAGGCGGCGCGGUAAGUCGGGUGUGAAAUCUCGGAGCUUAACUCCGAAACUGCAUUCGAUACUGCCGUGCUUGAGGACUGGAGAGGAGACGUGGAAUUUACGGUGUAGCGGUGAAAAUGCGUAGAUAUCGGGAGGAACACCAGUGGCGAAGGCGGCUCACUGGCCCGAUACUGACGCUGAGGCACGAAAGCGUGGGGAGCAAACCGGG
rnacentral:rRNA from 1 species